rnacentral:lncRNA from 1 species
CUCCCACAACCUCCACCUUUCGCCCCGUUUUGUUCAAGCUCAAGUUCCCCUGCUGGGAAUUGGUGUUCCUCUUCCUCCACUGCCUUUUAAGCACGGCCUACACUCCUUCCAGUCCCUUCCCAAGGGCACCUUCUCCUAGAAGCCUUCCCUGACCUUUCCACCCCGGGCUUAAACACCGUGUGACACAACCAUGUGGCUCUCACUGAUCAUACUGCACGAGGGUCAGUCAUGCCACCUCUGUCCCCCGACUCCCAGCACCCUAAGGACAGAGCUGCCUUCUUUCAACCCCAGCACCUAGCACCAUGCCAGCCAGCCACACAAGACACUAGACAGAUGGUGAUGAGUUUCAGUUAGGAUUUUCAGUUUCAGUUUCAGCUAGGAUUUUCAGUUACCUUCGUCUAGAUAUGUCUUAUCCCUCCAACCAGAUCUCAAGGACAGGGGGAGGUAGGGAAGUGCACCCCAAACUUGGAGAAAAGGGUGGCAUUAUCAGUGAUUUAAAGAUAUUUUUGUGAAGCUUAAAACAGGAAAAAAAACACAACCCUGUAAACUUGAAAGUGACCUCGGUUAAACAUUAAAGGCGGCAGCUCUUUGUUUAUCAAAAUGAGGCAUGUGUUCAAAAGGUUUCCAAGUCACUGAACCAGGGUGUGGGCUCCCAGGGGGACUGGUCUCAGCGUGAUUCCUCUUGGUAUCCUCACAGCAAAGCCUGGCCCAAGGCUGAGCAGCACCCUCAGUGCCCAGCCAACACCCCCAAACCCAGCUCCCUUCAUGCUGCUUCUCCAAAGGAUCCUCUUCCCAGGACACUGUGUUCCUCUUAAAUUGUUUCCCAUUGUCCUCACAACAGCCCUGAGAAAGGGGCGGAGCAGGGUUAUUGAGCCCCACUUUAAAGAUGGGGAAACUGAGGCUCAGUGAGGUCAACAUACUUGCCAAGGUCACAGAGCAAGGUGAGCCUGGACUAGGCCUUAAGUCUCCUGUCUCACUGUUGAAAGCUCUUUUCAAUGUACUAGCUGCUCAACAACUAAACACUCCUCAAAACACACACACACCCCCCACUGCCACCAUCCCAGCCGUCACAGAGCCAUGCAUUCCAAAGGGCCACUUCUCCUGUAGAUGCACUGUCUACUGCCACCACUCCCACGACCCCCACCAAAACUUGGGCUCCUGCAGGGCCCUAAGGCCUGCCUCAUCCAUUCUCCCCAACCCCAUCAGGGAAGCCGGCUGAAUAUUCCACUGGACCUCCCCGAAGGCCUCUCUUCACUUCCAGCCUCAGUCAACCUAUCUGCAGAGUGGGGUCUCAGGGCCACCUCCUCUGUCUUCCGUACCCUCGAGGCCGGGGUGGAACUGACCCUGGGGAAGGAGACAAGUCCUACUUGCAAGAGACCCCACCCACAAGUCUUUUCCACAGGCAGCUGCACUGACAUCUGCAAAGACAGAUCAUCAAAGUCCCCUUGGCCAAUCUCAGCCCGGCCCUGUGACUGGGCAGCCUCCUCACUCUCCCCAGCUAUACCCCUGACUGAGGCCCCGCCUGCACGCCGAAAGGCCCCCCGUCUCUCCCCCAAGUUCUUUCCUCCCAUGCCACACUCACAGCCCAGCUGAGCCCCUGCUCCUCCGGUCUCCGGCCGCAGCUCUUUGCUCUACAGUCUGCGCUGCUCAACGCAAAUACGGUAACUCUCCCGCAGCGACACCCGCGCCCCUUCUCCCCGCCCCCAUAAAGACGGCAAGCGUCCCGCGACGUUGCUCUUAUCAAAUAGCUGCAUUAAUCGGGAGAGCUGACCCCACCCCACCCGACCUUACACACAACCUUGCCAACUUCUGCGGCCGGAGCAACCCUGGAGAAAUAUGGUAAACUCUGCGUCGCAACCCCACCCCCACGAAAAUACGUAGGCCUCCACCCUGCUGCCGCAACCCACCCCGCCCGACUGCAAGCCCCAGCUCCCAGAGGGAAUGAAUGCAGCCCACCCCCCACGGCCGCAGCGCCCCCCCGCGGAGCCACGCAACCCUGGAUAAAUACGUAAUUAAGUCCCGGCGCUCCCACUCCCGGAAAGGACCUGCGCGGGACCCGGCAAAUACGGUAGCACGCCCGCAGUGACCCGCCCCCGAGGGUCCGGCUCUGGCCUCGGCCAGGCCCACAAACCGCCCCCAGCGACAGGAAAGAGGGUCGGACGGAGGCGCCGGCCUUUCCCCGGGUGACAUGGGCUGAGCGCCGGAGCCCGGCGGCGGAGCGGCCCUGGGCGAGGGUUUCAGGACUGGAGACAAUAGUCAAAGGGGCCGAAUCGAGGAGCUGCCCUCGCUGACAGUUUCGCCAAAGUCUGCCUGACUAUAUGGCCUGGGUUAUAUCACUAGAGUGACCAGAGGGAAAGGAAGAAGACAUCAGGCCCCUGCUGACCCCACCUCCUCAGAACGGAACCCGCAGUCAAGCCAGAGAUAUCCCAUAAAAGAGCAACUUACGACGUCUGGAGUAGCAGCGGGCGUGAGAGGGCAGAACCAAAUUACAGCUUCCAGCUGCCAUUUAAUGAUAAUGUCCCUUACUCGGACAUAACUUUGCCUUUUACAAAGCCCUUUUCCAUGUUAUGAUCUCGUGGGAACCUUCCAAUAACCAUGUGCACCCUACCUUGUGUGGGUUUUAUCCCAUUUUAUAGACGGGAAAAUAAAAUUGAAACACAGAGUGG